rnacentral:rRNA from 1 species
UACGGAGGGUGCAAGCGUUAUCCGGAUUUACUGGGUUUAAAGGGUGCGUAGGUGGGUAGGUAAGUCAGUGGUGAAAUCUUCGAGCUUAACUCGGAAACUGCCAUUGAUACUAUUUAUCUUGAAUACUCUGGAGGUAAGCGGAAUAUGUCAUGUAGCGGUGAAAUGCUUAGAUAUGACAUAGAACACCAAUUGCGAAGGCAGCUUACUACAUAGUUAUUGACACUGAGACACGAAAGCGUGGGGAUCAAACAGG